UACAGAGGUCCCAAGCGUUGUUCGGAUUCAUUGGGCGUAAAGGGUGCGUAGGCGGCAGUGUAAGUUGGACGUGAAAUCCUGGGGCUCAACCUCAGAAUUGCGUUCAAUACUGCAUUGCUAGGGCGCUGUAGAGGAGAUUGGAAUUUACGGUGUAGCAGUGAAAUGCGUAGAUAUCGUAAGGAAGACCAGUGGCGAAAGCGAAUCUCUGGGCAGCAGCCGACGCUGAGGCACGAAGGCCAGGGGAGCAAACGGG
rnacentral:rRNA from 1 species